CACGUAGGGGGCGAGCGUUGUCCGGAUUUAUUGGGCGUAACGAGCUCGUAGGCGGCUCGGUAAGUCAGGUGUGAAAACUCUAGGCUCAACCUAGAGACGCCACCUGAUACUGCCGUGGCUAGAGUCCGGUAGGGGAGCAUGGAAUUCCUGGUGUAGCGGUGAAAUGCGCAGAUAUCAGGAGGAACACCAGUGGCGAAGGCGGUGCUCUGGGCCGGAACUGACGCUGAGGAGCGAAAGCGUGGGGAGCAAACAGG
rnacentral:rRNA from 1 species